GACGAACGCUGGCGGCGUGCUUAACACAUGCAAGUCGAACGGAAAGGCCCUGCUUUUGUGGGGUGCUCGAGUGGCGAACGGGUGAGUAACACGUGAGUAACCUGCCCUUGACUUUGGGAUAACUUCAGGAAACUGGGUCUAAUACCGGAUAGGAGCUCCUGCUGCAUGGUGGGGGUUGGAAAGUUUCGGCGGUUGGGGAUGGACUCGCGGGUUAUCAGCUUGUUGGUGGGGUAGUGGCUGACCAAGGCUUUGACGGGUAGCCGGCAUGAGAGGGUGACCGGCCACAUGGGGACUGAGAUACGGCGCAGACUCCUACGGGAGGCAGCAGUGGGGAAUAUUGCACAAUGGGCGGAAGCCUGAUGCAGCAACGCCGCGUGCGGGAUGACGGCCUUCGGGUUGUAAACCGCUUUCGCCUGUGACGAAGCGUGAGUGACGGUAAUGAGUCAAGAAGCACCGGCUAACUACGUG
rnacentral:rRNA from 1 species